UUAUUUCUCCAAUACCACAUUCUCCAACAGGCUACCAUGAAAAUAUCUUUCCAAUCAAACUCCCUUCUCUUCCCUAGUUGCUGUGUCAAAUUCAGAUUUACUCAUCCCUCCCAGUUUAGGUUGAAGAAUGAUUGAAUUUUAGAUGAAUCUAAGAGUUGGACCCAAAUUAUUGAUACUCUCUGGCAAUUCCUUAACACAUGUAUGCAACUUUCCUGCGUUCCAUGGCAAGCAUAACAGUCUCCGCUUUCUCCAAACAUUUUUUAUUUUAUGUCAUUUGUUAGAAUUCUUCUACGGAGAGCGGUCCACAUGAACACUUUAAUUUUUUGUGUCCCUUUCCAUUCCCAUAUCUACUUCCAUAUUGUUUUUUGGGGUUUUGACCAAUUGCUUAGGGCUUUAUAAGUUGCUGCCAUUGAGAAAUCUACAUCCUCUGUGUGCUUCUAGCCUCUCUUAUCUCCCUCUUGAUCUUGAUUUGGUGGGCAAUUUGGUGGGCACAUUGCUGUGAUUUUGUGAACUAUUGCUUCUGGUAAAUUGAGUCUAAGUUAUUCUCUAUCCCAUUCUCCUGACUGAUUGGUCUAGUCCUUCACCAUGCUAUUGCUAUUCAUGUUUGGGUUGAGAGUAUAAUUUUUAAGAGCUCCUUCUCCCAACACCCAUUGAUCUUUCCAGAAGUUGGUUGCGCAGCCAUCUCCUAUGUAUUGUAUUGAAUUUUCUUGAUAAAUAGGUCAUAUUUUCACUAGUUCCUUCCAAAGCGUGGAAUCAGAGCUUUUGCUUCUUAUGUUGUUUUUCAAUUGCCCUCCCAGAUAGUACUUAUGUUUUAGCACCUCAACCCAUAGCUUCUCAGGUUCUCCUUCCAUUUGCCAAAGGAUCUUCAUCAAGAAGGCAUCAUUCAUUGAUGUGAGUUUCCUGAAUCCCAUACCCCUUUCGUGCUUAGGACGACAUAGAGUUUUCCAACUGAUUAAGUGUAUUUUCCGAUGCUUGGGUUCAUCCCCCAUAUGAAGCUCCUCUGAAGCUUUUUGAUUUCCUGACAAACUCCUUUAGGAACUCUAUCAUGUUGCAUUUGGAAGUUAAGAGCAGGACUAAUGGUUGCUUGAGCCAGCAUUAAUCUUUCCGCAAGAGAUAGACACUUACUCUUCCAUCCAUUGAGUUUGCUUUGAACCCUUCCCAUAAAAUCUUUGAACUUCUCCUUGCCUCUUCUAUUAUUUAUAAUCAGGGGCUCCAAGGUAUUUUUCCAAUUCCUUUUGUUCUCUGAAUUUUGCUAUGUCCAUAAUGCUCCUCCUUAAAUUUAUAUUUGUGCUUUUUGAGAAGACAAUUGAAGAUUUUUCUUCGUUAAUUUUCUGUCCAGACACCUUACAAAAUUUUUCUAGCGUUUCUUUAACCCUUUGCAUUUGUUCUUGGCUGGCUUUUGUGAAUAAAAGAACAUCAUCAGCAAAGAUCAGAUAAGAUAUUCUUGGUCCCCUUCUUCCCGCUGCCAUAGGUUUCCACUCUCCUAGAUGCACCAACUCCUCUAUCAGCUGAGAUAGCUUGUCCAUGCAGAUAACGAAAAGCACCUUAUAGGUCACAUUACACAGUGCUAUCGGCCAAAACUGGUUGAUGGACUAUGGAUGGUUAAGCUUUGGAACUAGCGCAAUGAGUGUGAAAUUGGCUUGCUUUAUGAUCUCCAGUUCAUUCCAACAACUCUGGAUAAAAUCACACACUUUGUUCUUCAUGAUCCCCCAAUUAUUUUUAUAGAUAAGCGCCGAAAAGCCAUCACUUCCUGGAGCCUUGAGAGAUCCUAUGUUGAACAAAGCCCUUUGAAUUUCCAUUUCUGUAGGAGUAGCUGCAAGCUUCCUGCAAUCAGACAAACUGAAAUUAGGGAGGUCGUAAUGGUCUAAUUCAAAAGGAAUAAUUUUUACCUUUUCUUGAUAAAGGUUUUUGAAAUGGCAAGUGAUAUGCUUUUUCAAUUCCUCUUCUUCUUUAAUCCAAUCCCCUUCUUGUCCUCUGAGUUUAAGAAUUCUAUUUUUUCCUCUUUUAACUAUAGCUUUGGUGUGGUAGAACUUAGUGUUUCUAUCUCCAUCCAUGAUCCAUUUCUCCCUCGAUUUUUGUAAUCAAAAGGUUUCUUCCUUGUCUAGAACUUCGUUUAGCUCCCUUAUAAGCUUCUGUUCCAAACCAUCUAAGUAAGGAUUUUUCCAUAUGUGCUACUUCUCUGAAUUCCUGCAAGUUUAUUUUGUAUUCUUCUUUUAGUUUUGAAAAUAUUCCCAAAACAGCUCUUGUUCCAUUCGAUUAAGUCCUUCUUUAGUUUUUCAAGAGCAUUUUUGAGAUGAUAAUGAUUAUUCCAACUUGUUUCAAUUAAAUUUUGGAAGUCUGGAUGCAUAGUCUAUAUAGCCUCAAAGCGAAACAAUCUAUCCCUUGUUCCAUUUAAGCAUUUUUCAGUAGUAAUUAAUAAAGGAUGAUGAUCAGAUUUCAUUCUUGUGAGCACCUCCACUGUAGCUUCAUGGAAUCUGUUUCUCCAACUUGAAUUAGCCAUAGCCCUGCCCAAUCUUUUAAAGAUUCUUUCUUGGCCUUCCCAUUGAGGCCCUCUCCAUGUGAAUCUCGAACCGAUGAAACCCAGGUCAAUUAAACCACAGUUAUUGAUCCAAUUAGUGAAAGCAUUGCAAGCCCUCAGGUCUGUGGCUGCACCUCCCCUGUUUUCUGAAUGAUCUUUAAUCUCAUUAAAAUCCCCUGCAAUAAGCCACUCCCCACUAACAGUGUUAGCUAUGUUCUGUAAUUUGGGCCAUAGCUCCUUUCUAAUUUAUGGAUGAGGAUUGGCAUAUACUGCAGUGAAAAACCACUCUCUUCUUCCAUAUUCUUGGACCUUAAUGUGUAUAUAUUGUUGAUGUGCUUCUAUUGAAGUAAUAUUGAUGUCACUCCUAUUCCAGAAAAUCCAGAUCCCACCUGUAAAACCUUGAGCUUCUUCAAUAAUGUAAUUAGUGUAUCCUAAUUGCUUAAUAACAUUUCUAGCAGCUUGUCCGCUACAUUUUGUUUCUAAAAGAAUGGUAAUGUCUGGCUUAUAUUAUUUCAUCAUCUCUUUAUAAAUCCUUCUAAAUGCUCCACUAGCAGCCCCUCUAACAUUCCAGAUUAUAGUGAUCAUUAAAAGGGAUAACUAAAGGUUUAAGAAAACUAAAACAGCAAAAAA